rnacentral:rRNA from 1 species
GACGAACGCUGGCGGCGUGCUUAACACAUGCAAGUCGAGCGGUAAGGCCUUUCGGGGUACACGAGCGGCGAACGGGUGAGUAACACGUGGGUGAUCUGCCCUGCACUUCGGGAUAAGCCUGGGAAACUGGGUCUAAUACCGGAUAUGACCUCCUAUCGCAUGGUGGGUGGUGGAAAGAUUUAUCGGUGCAGGAUGGGCCCGCGGCCUAUCAGCUUGUUGGUGGGGUAAUGGCCUACCAAGGCGACGACGGGUAGCCGACCUGAGAGGGUGACCGGCCACAGUGGGAAUGAGACAAGGCCCAGCCUCCUAGGGGAGGCAGCAGGGGGGAAUAUGGCAAAAGGGGAGAAAGCCGGAUGAGGCAACGCCGGGGGAGGGAUGACGGCUUUGGGGUUGUAACCCUCUUUCAGCGGGGACGAAGCGAAAGGGACGGUACCGGAAAAAGAAGCCCGGGCUAACUCCGUG